GAACACAUAAGAAAGCUCCAAUACAAUUGACAAACUAAUUAUUAGAUUAGGUGAUUUUCAUUAAUUUUUGACCACUUGAAUUGUUACUCCUCUUCAUGCACAUAAACUUAUAUUUCCAUGCAAAUAUGUGACAUAAUAAAUAUAGACCUCCUUUGCCAUUCAGUGAUCUCUAAGACUGUGUGGUCUCGUACUCAUAAAAUGCUACUCUUUCUAGUGCUUACAAUUUCCAUGCAGGUUUGAAGGACUUUUUUGGUUCUUCAGGCAUUUAAAUUUUCCUUUUUUACCAUAUAAUGCUAAUUUAAAAGAUGAUAAGGGUUUUCAGUGUGAUUACUAUCGUGAUAUUUUUCUGCAGAACAAGAAUACAACCUCCAUUAUGUUUGUUUCUGCUGGAGUGGUUGAACUUAAACAUAAUAGACCAAUUGACCUGCUAAGUUGGAUUGAUAAGUUCUUUUUUCUUAAAAAAAAGAAAUCUUGGGAAUCAGAGUGCUUACAUCUACAUAUUACAGUUAAAAUUCUCAAGGCAUUUGAGGACAUCAAAGUUAUAAACAUUGAUGCAUAACAAUUAACUUCUGAAGUUGUAUAUCUACAUUAUAGUAAGGGGUAGUAUUUGAGCAAAGUGAAUGUUC
rnacentral:lncRNA from 1 species